AUUGAACGCUGGCGGCAGGCUUAACACAUGCAAGUCGAACGAGUGGCGGACGGGUGAGUAAUGCUUGGGAAUCUGGCUUAUGGAGGGGGAUAACGACGGGAAACUGUCGCUAAUACCGCGUACCAUAGGAUGAGCCCAAGUGGGAUUAGGUAGUUGGUGGGGUAAUGGCCUACCAAGCCGACGGUCUCUCGCUGGUCUGCGAGGAUGACCAGCCACACCGGGACGGAGAAACGGCCCGAACUCCUACGGGAGGCAGCAGUGGGGAAUAUUGCGCAAAGGGGUCAACAUGACGCAGCAAUGCCGCGUGAAUGAAGAAGGCCUUCGGGUUGUAAAGUUCUUUCGGUGACGAGGCGUUAAUCACAGAAGAAGCACCGGCUAACUCCGUGCCAGCAGCCGCGGUAAUUC
rnacentral:rRNA from 1 species